rnacentral:lncRNA from 1 species
UUCUAACAAAAAGUGUCAUAGGGUACUGAAAACUCUUGAUAAAUCUAAUAAAACUGUCAACGGGUAUAAAAAAUUCUUGAUAAUUCUGUUAAAAGUGUCAACUGGUACUGAAAACUAUUGACAAUUCUGAAUAAAGUGUCAACGGGCACUACUCGAAAAACCUAAAAGAAAUUUUAGGCUUUAGGAAAAUAAAACGGUCUAAAAUUUUAUUCGUCUUCUCCUUGUUUCAGAAACCAUUUAAACUUGGCUCUACCAACAUGAACGCCAACACCACCAACAUCUCCUUAGCAUCACUCUUAGCAUCUAUGGUUAGUCUCUCUCUCUCUCUCUCUCUCUCUAAUUUUUCCACUUAAGAUUUGGUGAGUAUGCUGUAGUUUAGGUUAAUUUUGUUUCUUUUCUGUUUUCCACAAUUGAAUUGAAAUUCAAUUUCGCCAUCUGUUAUUCUAUUCAAUUAAUCUUAUUAAUUCUACUUCACGUUUUCUUUAUAGUUGUUUCGUGUUAAUUAAAGUUAAAAACAAAACAAAUUGAAAGCUUUGGAAGCCCUAGGUUGGCUUUAGGAUUCCAUAGACCUAUCUUUCUCACAAUUAAUUAGUUUGUUACUAAUAAAGAUCUGAACGAAAUUCGCAAUUUCCUUGUCUGAAUUAAAUUAAAUUUGGAUCUAUUACUUCAAUUUUUUAACUUGCCAGAAUGAUUCUGGAUCGAACCAGAAAUGAGUACUUGCUCGAGUUGAAUUGAAGAGAUUCUGAAACCUAGUUAUAAUGCGCACAAAGGAAGCAACUAAUAUUUUUGUGUAGGUUCAAUCGUUUUGUGUAUGUUACUGGGAAAGUUAUUGCGCAUUCUCAAUGAUUUAGUUUUUUAUUUAACGAUUAUGUCUAUGUUGAUCAGUAUUUUCUCGUUUCAAACUGAUUGUUUUCUGCAGACACAAGUCAUUCACGUAAGUCCUUAGUAUUAGAUUUGCUAAUUUAUCUGUUAAUUCGUUUGUACAUGUUUGCAAUACUCUUCUUUGUAAUUACUAACUUGUUGUCAGUUUUGCAAAAUGAUGCAUGUCAACUAAUUUUUAUUGGAGAUGUGUUUAGUGCAGCUGACUGUAUCGUAUAUACACACGUUAAUUGAAUUUCAUUGGUGAGUUUACAAAUCGUGUAUUACUGAACAGAUUCGUUUGGUCCUUUUAAAAAUAUUUUUAUUUGCUACUUUACUGAGUUAGCUCUUGAUAUUCAUUCUUUUGUAUUAAAGGGAAAUGAAGCUUGUAACAAUUGGCCAAUGUCUCAAAGGCAAGAUCAAUGUCUCGUUUCCAGUAAGGGGGUAAAUUCUUUUAUCAAUCAUUUUAUGGUUGCAUUUAUAGUGGUACAUUAUAUCAGUUAGCAGUGGACUCUUCUUGUUUAUUGUUAGGUUCUAGACCUUGUGCAAUGAAGGUAUGUGUGCUGCACUAUAGUACUUUCUAUAACUUUGAUUUGUGGAUUGUGGGUCAAAGAGUAUGUUGAAGUAGCUUGAAAACGUUUGAAACUCCAUUCCCUUAUGUGCCAAAUUGGUUUUAGCUUAAAGUCUUAAAACUCUUAGUAAUUUGCUUCAAUGCUCAAGACAUUUAAUUUUUUUUUUGUUAAAGCCCAUAGUGAUUUGUAGUUCCAUAUAUGUCUACCCCUUUCUUUUGAGGCUAUUAUGUACUGAUGUGAUUGGAUUGUUCUAGCAUUUUCUCUUCCCAUUUAAAAUAUCAGCAAGUCUUGUUGCAAUAUCUCGUAAAUAUUAAAUGUAGGGUCAUGCCCUGAACAUCUAAACCUCUCUCACGCUGUCAUGCAUCUCUUUUUGUUGGAUAUUCAGGAUAUCUUGGAAUUUCUUAAUAACUAGGAUCAACAUGCAUAUGUAUCAACUGCCUAGCUUCCACGCAUUCAUAUAAGAGAACAUGUUAAUUGUGAUCCUAGGAACAGGGCACAUAGUUCUUCUAAUGAUAGUUUUCUCUACAUACUACCAGUAAAUAAACUGUGUUUCCUAUUUUUAAUCCUUUUCCACUUAACGAAGUUAUAACUCUGUCACAUGAACCUUUGUAGUAGUGCGUACUCAUUGGGGGCAUAUGAUUGGCUUGCAUAAUUAUAGUUUCAAUUGAAUAUUUUAUUGAAAUGUAACUGCUUUACGAAGCCAUUGAUUCAG